UGAGGGAUAUUGGUCAAUGGGGGAAACCCUGAACCAGCAACGCCGCGUGAGGGAAGACGGUUUUCGGAUUGUUAAACCUCUGUCCUCUGUGAAGAUAAUGACGGUAGCAGAGGAGGAAGCUCCGGCUAACUACGUGCC
rnacentral:rRNA from 1 species